UAAAUUUUUUCAUUAAUAAAUUUAAACACCGGUAUUAAGACCCUAAGAACAUUUCUCUUAAGGGGUUUCUUAAGUUAAUUUUGGGUUAAAAAAAAAAUUAAAAAUACACAAUCACACAAGAACAGUGUCUUAUUUUGGAUCAAGAAGAGGCGUCUCUUGUUACCACCUGUAAGGAUGUGAGAGGGCAGAAGAGCGGUGUGUCCCUUCUUCGUCGUUUCUCUCUUCUCUCUCUCUCUCUCGAAACAUCUCUCCGACGAAAACGGCGAAACUCAUCUGGAAACUGAAGAUGGGACUCGAGUCGCAACUCUUCAAUCCUCUCUGUGUUUACGAUACUCGCGACUUGGAUGAUAACAAGGUGACGCGAUGCCAUCGUCUCUUCUUCCUCAAUCUCCGAUUCACGAUAGAGAUUAGGUCUCAGGUUCAUCUGAAUCAAUUCAUCAUCUUCUUCGCAGCUAAUCGGUGAUAGGCUGAUCUUCGUAUAUCUUCUCGAUGAUUGAUUCUCAAAAUAUCUGGGAAUUCUAGCUCCAGACUGAAGCAAUGGCUAAGAUGGAGGUGUUUGAUUGAAUGAUUUAGAGACAGGAUCACAUUCUCCAGGGAAUUGCAUCCGUGUGCGUAGAGAUGCUCGAGGCUCUGUGGGAGAUCUUCCACUGAUUUGAGUUUCUUGCAGUUGUUGAGGCAGAGUGUUCCAAGAGAUCUUCCCAGUUCCAACAAUAAGAAGACUCCAAAAUCUGGAGAUGACUCUGGUCAACACUACAUCAUAUGAGGACCUUCUGUGCCAAGGAUUGGCAUUAAUUCGUUUCUGUUAUGUUAGGAUAUGGUAUAUUGAUAAGUCUUGUGCAAGGACUUGGACUUGGAUUUACUUAUGGCCUUGCUAUAUGUUCAUGUGCUCUGCAACUUUGGAUUGGUCGGUUCUUUGUCAUUCAUGGAAGGGCGACUGGUGGAGAAAUUAUUACAGCCCUUUUUGCUGUUAUUUUAAGCGGGCUGUAAGCUUCAGAUUCUACUUUUACUGCUUGUAUCUUUCUUCUCCAGUUUCUGUAUACACAUUGAUUUGCUAACUAUAUUCCAUUUGUUGGAUAAGGAGACGAAUAUACUUAUAUGAUUGCUUUUUAUA